GGAGCUAAUACCGAAUGUGGAGGUGCAAUUGGAAAAGCAUCUCUAAAGAUGGCCUCUAUUUAUAAGCUAUCGCUUUUUGAUGGGCCUGCGUGCCAUUAGCUAGUUGGUGGGGUAAUGGCCUACCAAGGCAACGAUGGCUAGCUGGUCUGAGAGGAUGACCAGUCACACUGGAACUGAGACACGGUCCAGACUCCUACGGGAGGCAGCAGUGGGGAAUCUUGCACAAUGGGCGAAAGCCUGAUGCAGCAAUACCGCGUGAGGGAGGAAGGUCUUCGGAUUGUAAACCUCUGUCGAUUGGGAAAAAUGGUUACGUUUCGAAUAGGUACGUAAUUUGAUGGUACCAAUGAAGGAAGCACCGGCUAACUUCGUGCC
rnacentral:rRNA from 1 species